CCAUCUCUCUCUUGAUGCAUCUCCUCAUUGCGCCACCUGCGGCAGCUGAUUCAGGCGACAUCCGGCGAAUCCAGCCAUCGCGGGAAGCACAGCCCGAGGUCUCGUCACACCGCGGAGCCCUCCCAUGCGGCUAGAUCCGGUGCUCAUGACCACCAAAGCCCACCCGCAACCUUCCCCUGAUGGCUAGGUUUCGGGUGUCGGCUCCAGCGCUGGUGGCCAAGUCGUCCUCCUCUCGCCGGUGAGUGAAUCCCCUUCCCUGGCUUCAUCCUCUCUCUCUUCCCCUUUCUCUAACCUAUGUUCUUCUCAUCUCCUGUAGACAUCUAGGUAUGCACCCCCGAUUCUAUUGCAGCUAAUCCCUAUUAAAAAUUUUUGGCCCUUGUUCAAUUCAUUGGCGAACACUGAUAGGUUUGCAGACUGACUUCCGAUCUCCAUUGAUUUACAUUCAUGCACUGGUUGUUAUUCUAUUAAAUUAGUAAUUAUUAGAUAUCAAUGGAUCAUCUAAAACAAUGGAAGAAUAUUGAGCACCCAUAUUGUGAUACUUGUCCGGUUGAAAAACUGUGGAUCACAUCAUAUUGAGAUGCGCUCCAGCCAAGGUUUUGGUUACCGAAUGAGGUAAUUUUACCGAGGGAGACUGAUAAAUGUGGUUACCAUGGUUACCGAGAAAUACCGACAAAUACCGAGAAUAUUUCGAGCGAAUUUUAUAGUUGAAUUUUGAAUUCAAAUAAGAAAAUGAACGAAUAUUCAAACCAGAGACCUCUCAAAACAGGAACUAGGUUGCUACCAACAUGCCAUAACCAACUUUCAUUGCAUUAAUUAGACCCUACAUACCUUACUGUAAAUCGAGUGUUUAAAUUCAAAAAUUUCAAAAAAAUGGUAUUUUUUGCUCGGUAUGACGAUUUACCGAGGGGCACGGAAAUACGUGGUAACCAUGGGAAAUCUUGAAAUUUCGACUGGUAACCAAAACCUUGGCUCCAGCUCAUUUUUUGUGGGGUAAGCUUGAGGUCUUGCAGCAGGCAACAUAAUCCCACUCCUUGCUAGACUUUGUACGCACACUAAGAUCUGUUAGUCCACACUAGUUCGUGCUUUCUGCUGCCUGUGUAGUUCAGCCGUAUAGAGUGCGUAAUGCUUGGGUCUUUGACAGUCAGUCAAUGCCAAAUUUUUCUUCUCGCCUUCCAUCGCGGAGAUGAUUUAGCUAUGGUGCUGUAGAUUGAAGGAUUGCUCUCUCAAAGCCUUCCUUCAGCACUACUCGGAGCUCCUGAGGAACAUCAUUUAGUCAGGUUUUAGUCUAGAGGCUUGUUCCCCUUCCUCCCUGUUCUUUCUCAUGUUUCUAUUCCUCUGAUGCGGUGUUUUAGCUAGCAUCUUUUGUACAAAGACAAUUCUCAGAUCUCAGUCAGGCUUUGGAAUAUAUAUGGUAGACUGUGGUCUGCCUUCUUAUCCAAAAAAAUAAAUCAAUGGAGCAUCAUUUUUUUUAAAUCUUAUACACUGCUAACUCAUCAAUCCUUCAUAGAUUAGUCGGUAAUCCUUCCAGUUUUUUUAUGUAGAGAAGCACUACUUCAUAUAUGCAGAACGCAUAUUAAAUAGUAUAUUUAUAGAGUUAUAAUAUUUAAGGAGGGGAUCCAGUCUUUAUAGAUCUCUGUAUUGAUGAGUUACCAAUCAAAGUUUUUUGUUGCAAUUUCACACUUUUCAGGAGUCUGAUGGUCAAGUUAUUUAGGUCGAGGUAGUAGCUUGCUAAUGGUGGCUUUCACGUCCAGCUCAAAUAGUAGAGGGCGUGGGCCAAUUGGAGGAAGCACAUACACCUUUCUUUUAGUGAGCAGGUGAAUUAAUAAUGCACAUUGCUUCUUCUAUGAUGUUGCUUUGAUGCUGUUGAUAUGAUUCAGAACCCUGAUAAAUACUAAACUCCAUGCCUGUUAAUGUACUGAUUGUUGUAUGCACUUACUAUUCUACACAAUUUGGAUUACUAGCUAAAUACACUGAUGCCCUUCUCUUCCUUUGGUUUGAAAAGCUAUUAUGCAACUCCCCAGUUAAAUUCCUCGGUCUUGCUAGCCUCUUCGUCUAAAAAACUCGCCAUAAGAUAGUACACAUUUUCUUUUUUGAGAUUUAUUUCACAUUUUCUUUGUCAUUUGGUUAUGUGAUUGUCCCUCAUAGCAUGCAGUUAUUAUAUAUGCACUUGGAUCAAGUCAACGCAGAGGAUUAAUCUAUAUCAAGUACUUAUCUACUAAUCUAAAAAAGCUACUUAGAUGCAACCUACACUUGCGCUUUAUGCAUGUUCACGUACAAACAUUCAGAUACUAAAGCUUGCAGCAAGCACACGCACAUAUACACCAGCAUGGGCUCACUGUUAAUCAUCAUGUUUGUCAUUUGUUAAGUAGAAGCUCACUGUUUGUUUGUGCACAGGUUCCAAAGAAAGAAAUACUCAAUGCCAUUCGGUGGUUUUUAAUGUGCCAGUCUCUACAUUCAUAGUACGUCACUGAGUUAUACCUGCAACUAAGAUUAUUUCUGUUGUGGUGAUUAUUUAUUUAUUCCUUUAUUUCUUACAUUAGCUCUAACCAUUUUUCAGCCUCCUUUCCCACUCUUAGUCAACUACUCCUAUCUCGCCAAUGGUGUACCUAUUGUUGUGUGAAAUUUAAUGCGACGCGUCGCACUUGUCCAUUCAGGCACUAUCGAGAUGGAGGCCAACAUCAUGGACGGCUAGAUGUGCGAGUAGAUUUGUCCAAGAUACGGCAGUGUUCAUAGUCAUGGUUCUGGUAAUUGUAUACGAUCUCCAUAUCUUAACUGUUUGAGAAGACGGAAAUGCAAGUUGUUCUUCUUAGAUGCUCUUGCCAUUUUGAUUCAUACAUUGCUAAACUGAUCACUGACAUCUCACCACUUGGAUUCAUAAAUUGCUGAAUUACCCACAUGAACUCUUGCUGUCAUGGUUCAUAAAUUGCUGAAUUUCCCAUUAUGUGGCUUGCACUGUUCCAUAUGAGCAGUGUCUAUUGUGCUUUUAACCAGUCAACUAAGUAGGUACUAUGUUAUUAGUGGCUUGCUUUUUAGGCCACAACAUCUGUUUAUCUUUCUCUGAGUCUGUUUAUGUUUGUUUUAUGGCCUGAAGUCAUGUAUUGAGUUGUAAGGGAAAACUUUCAGAUCACAACUUUUCUUUGUAAUAGUCGUAAUCUAGCCGGCGAACCAAUGUUUCGGAAGUAAUUACCCUUUGUAAAAAGUAACAUUUCUUAUUUGUUGGGUAGCCCGACACUAUUUGCAUCAUGUCAAUGCAUUGUGUAUUAACAAUUCAUUUUUUUAUUUUCUUUGUAGAUUCAAAAGAUACAUGGACGCUUAUACGAGUGUGUGGCAAGUAUACUGCAAUGAUGAUGAUGAUGUUCCAGUUCACGAGGAUGACUAUGAUGGCUAUUUUUAGUUGUAGUUAUGAUGGUUGUUUUAAAUUUAGUUAAGUUACAGGGAUGUUGUUCCUGUUAGAUGAUGUUCCUCAGUUAAGUUUUAGUUAAGUUGUAGGGAUGUCGUGGAUGCUUUCAGUUAAAUUUCGCUGUCAAGAGAAUAUUUAGAUUAUGCCUCACAUUUGGAUGUUAUUCCUCCUGUAAUAUCAACAAUUGUAAUCUCACAAUUUUUUCCAAUAUAUGAUUUCUUCCAGUCGUGUGCAUAUUUUUUCUUAUGACUUGAUAUACAUUCUUAUCACCAUUAUGUGGAGCAUUAAUUUAAUUGCUGGCAACAUAUAAAAUAUUGUUCACAUUUUAUAUGUAAAACACCUGAAGCGUUGCAAAUUCUUUGUUGCCAAGCAAUG
rnacentral:lncRNA from 1 species